UACGGAGGGUGCGAGCGUUGUCCGGAAUCACUGGGCGUAAAGGGCGCGUAGGCGGCGCGGAUAGUCGGCGGUGAAAGCCCGGAGCUCAACUCCGGGUCGGCCGUCGAUACUUCCGGGCUUGAGCACUGUAGAGGCAGAUGGAAUUUCGGGUGUAGCGGUGGAAUGCGUAGAGAUCCGGAAGAACACCGGUGGCGAAGGCGGUCUGCUGGGCAGUUGCUGACGCUGAUGCGCGACAGCGUGGGGAGCAAACGAGG
rnacentral:rRNA from 1 species